rnacentral:lncRNA from 1 species
GAUUUUAGAUUGAAUUCUGAAAUUUUUUUUGUACCCUCAAACAUUAAUUGUGGUUUGAAUUUUUAUCCUUGCCUUAGAAAGUGUGGGAUAAUUCAUAUUACAAUGAUUGGUUGCAUUCAAGUUGGGGAGAAAAGGUUGGUUUCUAUGAGGUUGAUAAAGAAAAAUAUUUAAAAAAAAUAAAUAAAGAAAAGGAAAGGAAAAUAAAGCAAACAGAAAAAAGAUUGAAAAAAAAAGAAAUAGCAAAUAGAUUUUGUGCUAAUAAGUUGUGUGCAAUGGUGUAACAAUUGAGCAAUGAGAAGAAGAUGAAUGAAAUUUGUGAAUGCUUAAGAUUGUGAGAAAU